UUCCCUACUAAGCUUUUGAAGUACAACUUCUGUGUAAUCUGAUUGGAGGAUAAUGUUAUUAUGGUUUCGUAUUGGAAGGUCACAUCAUUAUUUUGAGUGCUGUAAAUUAUUGUUGAGUUGGUCUAAUGGUGGAGAAUUUGUGUUCUUGAAAGAAAGGUCAUAAGCUCAAAUCUCAUGACAGGAGGUAAAAUAUGUAUGCCUCAUUUGAGGUAAUCCCAUAUCUAACCCAUCUGUGGACCUACACAUAGAUGGUUUGAGGUAGUCCCAUAUCUAACUCAUCUGUGAACCUACACAUAGAUAAUUGAAAUUGUGGAGUAUAAAAGAUUCAAAAAACCUCAUUUAACUUUAUAUAAAUUUAAUCUGGCUCCCUUCAGAUGAAAAGGUAUGGCUUUAACUUCCUUCACCUGGUUGUCUCUACGCAAUUUUGGCCAUGGUUAAUAUUAGUUUGAUGUCCAGUUAAGAGGGCGCCGAUGCUAUAGAAACAAGGGCGGCAGAGCAGACUAGAGGACCAAAGGAGGUUAUCGCAGUAGCAUUCCAUGUGCAAACAUUGCGACGCCCUGGCUGUUAUGAUAAUGAGUUAUUAUUGUUCCAGAUUGCUCAUCCUACUUUCUAGAAUAUCACCAUUUAUUUUAGCAGCUCCAGAGACUCGCAAUUUUUCCUCAGUAAGUGGGUCAAAAAUUUGUUUUGGGACAUUCCAUAGCAUAAAUUGAAUGUCUGACAUCUUUUCUGAUUGCUCACUUUAACCUCGACCAUUAAUUUAGUGUAUCUUAUUAUAUAUUACAUAUUGAGUUCAUUCUUUGCAGUAUAAGGUUUGAGGGCGUAAUCCUUACAUUUAUACGGUGUUAUUAGUUCCUGCCCCGCAAGGAACUAUUGGCAAGGCUUCACAUUAAAUAGUUAAUAAUCAUAUCUUUUGACAGCCAAUAGCAUGGCUUGUUUUGUGCUAUGUCAAGACUAUCCUAAGUCUAAAUCCCAAUUUGGCAGAGAUAUGUGCUUGGGUUUUAACCAUUGUUUGCAAGGUGGGAGCGUUGGCAGGCUAUAGAUGGCGGACGGAUAGGCAAUGCAAAGCCCAAGGCAAGAGAACGCCCGGAUACAGAGGAAGGGGGCAAAAACUAGAUCUUGGUUAGCGUCUAUUGCACACAGUUGGCAUUUACGGCUGCACCUGUGCGACGUGGAUGUGCAAAAUGGUGGCUUUGGUGGGGUUUUGUCAAGAGGAACAAAGGCCAUAGACAGAUGGCUCUUAGGGUUUUCGUUUUGGGCAUGCAGGCCAGAGGACCCGUUACUACACAGGUGGGAGAUGACAAUGAAACAAUAUUAAUAAAUGCAUGAUACCUCAUUUUUAGUGUUUAGCUAUCCUGGAGCACGACGUGGCCUUUUUACCUUCAGCUUUUCUUCAGCGAAAUCUGCUCUGUUCUGCAUAUCUCAUUUACAAGAUUUCUGGAUCGCAAAGCACAUUGAGCAUUGGUAGCAUCUAAUUACAGAACACAUAAAGGCUCACUUAACACAUGGACCCCAGCCAAGCAACAUCAUUUGGAUCAAUGUCUUCCAAGGAACAUCAUUUGCCCAAAAAACAAUCUUCCAUACAUGCCCAUUGCAGUCAGCCAGAUGCUCAUAGCUUACAAGAGCACCUUGGAAAACAGUGCCAUGUCGAUCAGCUCAAAGGAAAAGACAACACUUGCAGCACCCUCGCUACACAAGCAAGUCAUACCAAACAAAGAUCCACUGGCCACAUGGAAUGUGAUCAGCAAGAGAGUGGUGUUGAAGCCCUGCAUAUAAGCAAAUGCCAACUCCAACCUCUGAGACAAAAAACAACACCGUCUUCCAGACAUGCUCCACAAACAAGCCAUUCAAGCCACAGCCUUUCUUCAACACUGCCAAAACCUAGCACAAUACUGGACCUAUGUACACAACGAGUUGGUUGUAUGUUUGAAGGUUCUCAUCUCCACCACGUACACAGAAUUGUGCGCAACUUUGCAACAACUCUUCUCAAUAGUAGAUAUGCCUUUUAUACUGUUCAAAAAUAUUGUGCGUAAUGGUCCCCAAGGAACCCGGUCAUUCCGCCCAUCGCAGUCUACUUUCAUUGAAGAGCUUAAUGACCAGUGCACAAAAGCACAUUUGGAGACACUUGCCAAAUGUAAUAUCCAGGUUGUCGGUGUCCUCAAAGCAAAGAAUGCCUACUUUCCACCCUAUGAAAUAUCUUGCUCAAUGUGCCACCACUCCCUACCAUUUGAUGCUGCAAUUGACAUGGACUUUGUCCAUUGCACGUAUUGCAACACCGACACACAAACCUCUUGCCACCAUAACAUACUUUGCACAUUGAAUACACAAGAAGGCAACAUCGACUGCUCCUUGCAAGGAGACAUACUUCAACAAACUUACCCAGAUAUCACAAGAUAUAACAUACGAACAAUACCAACAAAACAUCUCGCCAAUGGUCUUUAUGUUGCGCAGGCUCCACCUCUAUGGCACGUUCACAUUAGCUGUGAACAACACCAUUAUUGAUAUUGUCAAGCAAUAGGAAUUUUGAUGUAAUUGGGUUUUAACACUGUCCAUGUUAAUGAAUAUUGCAAACUUGAAAAAAACCUCGACCUUUAAAGCUUGUAAAUCUUAUUACUUUUUUGGAUGGCAAUGGCCCUACAAACUAUGAUACUGUCUGAAUAUCACAAAAUCUGCUACUGUGUUAAUAUAAUGUGAAUAUAAUGUAGCUUAUGCUGUGAAAAAAAUAUGAAUAUAAUGUUAUCAUCAUGUUACCAUCUGUACUUUUGUGACUGGGCAUCACAUAUAUACAACUUCGUGGGAAUUUACUCUGAGUAGGUUGACAUUUUAGAUUCUAUGAGGACUUGACAUCAGCUUAAUUGAUAUGAAUUCACUGUCAUGUUUUUUACUAUGUAUAAAUAAUAAUCGUACACCUUACAUAUGUUGUACUGUUUGCACAUUUGUGCUUAUGAUGUGUUGACCUUUCUGCUGCAUUUACUACAUCAUACUUGGUUUGAUUUGUAUACAGGGCAUUUACUUAGACACUGGUGAUUGACUAUUGAAUAAUGUUUUCAUUAAAUGCUAUCUGACAAUGGGGAUGCGUUUUAUGG